rnacentral:rRNA from 1 species
AUUGAACGCUGGCGGCAGGCCUCACACAUGCAAGUCGAGCGGAGCGGCGGACGGGUGAGUAAUGCCUAGGAAUCUGCCUGGUAGUGGGGGCUACCGUCCGGAAACGGGCGCUAAUACCGCAUACUAUCAGAUGAGCCUAGGGCGGAUUAGCUAGGUGGUGGGGUAAAGGACUACCAAGGCGACGAUGCGUAACUGGUCUGAGAGGAUGAGCAGUAACACGGGAACUGAGACACGGUCCAGACUCCUACGGGAGGCAGCAGGGGGGAAUAUUGGACAAUGGGCGAAAGCCUGAUCCAGCCAUGCCGCGUGUGUGAAGAAGGUCUUCGGAUUGUAAAGCACUUUAAGUUGGGAGGCGUUACCAACAGAAUAAGCACCGGCUAACUUCGUGCCAGCCGCCGCGGUAAUAC